rnacentral:rRNA from 1 species
ACGAAGGGUGCUAGCGUUGUUCGGAAUCACUGGGCGUAAAGCGCGCGUAGGCGGCGUAACAAGUCAGAGGUGAAAUCCCCAGGCUCAACCUGGGAAUUGCCUUUGAAACUGUUAUGCUUGAGUAUUGGAGGGGAUAGCGGAAUUGCUAAUGUAGAGGUGAAAUUCGUGGAUAUUAGCAGGAACACCGGUGGCGAAGGCGGCUAUCUGGACAAUUACUGACGCUGAGGCGCGAAAGCGUGGGGAUCAAACAGGA